rnacentral:rRNA from 1 species
AUUGAACGCUGGCGGCAUGCCUUACACAUGCAAGUCGAACGGCAGCACGGGAGCAAUCCUGGUGGCGAGUGGCGUACGGGUGAGUAAUAUAUCGGAACGUGCCCAGUCGUGGGGAUAACGUAGCGAAAGCUACGCUAAUACCGCAUACGAUCUAUGGAUGAAAGCGGGGGAUCGCAAGACCUCGCGCGAUUGGAGCGGCCGAUAUCAGAUUAGGUAGUUGUGAGGUAAAGGCUCACCAAGCCGACGAUCUGUAGCUGGUCUGAGAGGACGACCAGCCACACUGGGACUGAGACACGG